GCCCAGAACUGUUGUGCCAGUGCAUCGAGGACAUUGCGUACGUGACAGACACCCCAUACAUCCCCUCCCGGAUCGACAAUCUCCGUAGGAAGUGUCAAGUGCAUCUCAGCUUCCCGAUUUCCAAUGCCAUGAAUUGCUCGAUGGUUAUUCCUGGGGCACGACAAGACAAGUGAAAAUGAUGGGAUGAGCCGGAUUGAUUGAGCUCGAGUCGACUAAUGAAUAAGGACUGUAUGUGUCCAAUGCACGGAGUCUUCCCUCUGUACUCGAAAAGAAAAAUCUGUGAACGGUAGCUGUCGUUAUAGUCACCAUAUUUGACAAAGUCCAUGACUGCUUAAAAAUCCACAGAAAGGUACUCAAGUUGAUCAA